CAGAAAUGAAGCCCGUGAGAGGAAGCAGCUCGAUUCAUUCCCGCGGGAGCUUCGGACGGACAGAAGAGACACGAUCGGAAUGAAAAGAGGGAGAAGGACGCGGACGCAGCAGGAAUUUAACUGGAAUUUCAGUUCCAUUCUGAAUGGCGCACAAUCCUACUAAAUGUGAGAUAUCUGGGAUUUACAGCAUCUAAUUUCCGUGACAAAUAAUGAAGAAGAAAAUCACAAACACACUGUGUGGUGUUUGGAGACCGAAUAAAAAUAAGAGUGAGCAACAAACCGAGUCACUUCACAGACUGACCACUGAGUGGCGCUGUUCCUUUACAUGAAGACAGGAACCACGUCAAACCUGCAACACUGUACCCUUCUGAGAGUGAGUGCACUUGAGAAGAACUGAAUCUGACAAUGAGAAAGUGUGUGUCUUUCCUGCUGGUAACAGGGUGAGGUUUACUGAAACCAAACCAGGCAGAUGGGUUUCCUCACCUUGACCAAACUCAUGUGUGCAGUUCCACGACCUUUGCCCUCGUGACGCCGCUCACCUGGCAACCACAGCAAACCUCGCCAGUUGGAUCCAAGUUGCCAUCUGUGCAGCAUCCACCACAUCUCUCUCUCUCUCUCACACACACACACACACACACACACACACACACACACACACACACACACACACACACACACACACACAGUUCAUCUCGUGGAAUAAUGGAUGACUGUAGAGUAGAUCAAAC
ensembl:lncRNA